UUAAACAGUUGACACUGUCACUAUCAAAAUCGAAAAAAAUCAAUAAGUGUAACACAAUGUGAGAAUAAUCGGAUCUCAAAAACAUUAUACCAAUACGGUGGUUUAAUUGGGUAUGUGGGAAGAGCAGUGGGGAAUCUUCGAAGUCUGUAUCACUAUGUGGCGUUUCUAUAAUAUUCUGCUUUCCAUCGGGUGCGCCAUCGUGUCUGGGAUCUUUGGUCCUCUCCUCAGCUUAGCUUAUAAACUCGCAGGCCCAGAAAGCGACAUGGCGAUCGCAUGCAAAAAGGAUCCCGACUACUGUUGGCUAGUCACUAACCUAAAUUACCUGAUGUGGAUCAUGUUCUUCGCAAGUCUGCUCAUAUUCUUUGGAUGUAUAUUUGAAAGCAUUUGUCUAUUACAUUGUAGCAUGGGCGUUAUAACAUUGGACAUGAUGCUAUCUCUCUUUGUCUUAGCGAAAUACCUAUAUUACUGUCUCAAUUAUGGUAAAAUGUGCUUUAAUAAGAAAAAAGAUAAAACUAAAGAUGAUGUGUAUGUGAUUACGCAUAUAGUUUUUAUGAAUUUUGUGUUUAAUGUGUUAUUGGGAUCGUUGUUGGUAUUCAUUGCUCAAUAUAAACGGUAUUU